CCUACGGGUGGCAGCAGUGGGGAAUUUUCGUCAAUGGGCGCAAGCCUGAACGAGCAAUGCCGCGUGAACGAGGAAGGUCUUCGGAUCGUAAAGUUCUGUUGAAGGGGAAAAAGAGCGGAGAGAGGAAAUGAACUCCGAUUGAUAUUACCCUUCGAGGAAGUCACGGCUAACUACGUGCCAGCAGCCGCGGUAAUACGUAGGUGGCGAGCGUUAUCCGGAUUGAUUGGGCGUAAAGGGUGCGUAGGGGGCCUGCUAAGUCUGGAGUGAAAGGUACCGGCUCAACCGGGAUAGGCUUUGGAAACCGGCGGGCUAGAGAGCAGGAGAGGGGGGUGGAACUCCAGGUGUAGCGGUAAAAUGCGUAGAGAUAUGGAAGAACACCAGUGGCGAAGGCGGCCGCCUGGCCUGUUACGGACGCUGAGGCACGAAAGCGUGGGGAGCAAAUAGGAUUAGAUACCCGAGUAGUC
rnacentral:rRNA from 1 species